rnacentral:rRNA from 1 species
CCAGACUCCUACGGGAGGCAGCAGUGAGGAAUAUUGGUCAAUGGGCGGGAGCCUGAACCAGCCAAGUCGCGUGAGGGAAGACGGUCCUAUGGAUUGUAAACCUCUUUAGGCGGGGAGCAAUGCCGGGCACGCGUGCCCGGAGGGAGAGUACCCGCAGAAUAAGCAUCGGCUAACUCCGUGCCAGCAGCCGCGGUAAUACGGAGGAUGCGAGCGUUAUCCGGAUUUAUUGGGUUUAAAGGGUGCGCAGGCGGAUUUUUAAGUCAGCGGUAAAAUCGUGGGGCUCAACCCCAUCCAGCCGUUGAAACUGGGGAUCUAGAGUGUGCGAGAGGUAUGCGGAAUGCGUGGUGUAGCGGUGAAAUGCAUAGAUAUCACGCAGAACCCCGAUUGCGAAGGCAGCAUACCGGUGCACAACUGACGCUCAGGCACGAAAGCGUGGGUAUCGAACAGGAUUAGAUACCCUCGUAC